AAGACUAUACUUUCAGGGAUCAUUUCUAUAGUUCUUUACUAGAGAAGUUUCUCUGAACAUGUAGAGCACCCGAAACCACGAGGAGGAGAUGCAGCAUCCUCUCCUGAGCGUGAAGCUGGCUCUUGGUGUUGCUUCAGUAACUGCCACUUGCCAUUGAUGAUCGUUCUUCUCUCUCUUGGGAAAGAAGAGGGAGAGGAUGCAUUCUGAAUGGU
rfam:Myotis brandtii contig308563, whole genome shotgun sequence.